rnacentral:tRNA from 2 species
GGAGGCGCAACGGGUCCGGUGACCCGCCCGGCCUUCAAAGCCGGUGAUCCCGACUCAGUCGGGGUGGUGGGUUCGACUCCCACACGCUUCCGCCA